rnacentral:RNase_MRP_RNA from 1 species
GGGUGUUCUAAAGACCUGCUCUCUAGGCCGCAUGCUGAGGACGCUGGUUCCUCCAGGGCUCCCGAGCCCACCUAGGGGAAAGUCCCCGGACCCCGGGCAGAGAGUGCCGCUUGCUCCGCAGCGUGCAGUGACCCGCCUCGCCGGCUCACGUUCUGCCCGCCAAGAAGCCCCCCGGGCUGAGCGGGUGGGUGCGGGAUGGGCUGCCUGUCACUCCCACAGGAACGCAGGUAGGAUUCUCAGCCUCAAGGGCUGAUAAUCUGGCAUUUUUCACCUGCACUGAACUAUUGAGAAAAGAAGGUAUUUUGCAUUUUUAAAAGCAGGAAUCACAUUAAUGAAUUAUUACAAUACA